GACGAACGCUGGCGGCGCGCCUAACACAUGCAAGUCGAACGGAGCUGAGAGAAGCUUGCUUUUCUUAGCUUAGUGGCGAACGGAUGAGUAACGCGGGAGUAACCUGCCCUGGAGUGGGGGACAACAGUUGGAAACGACUGCUAAUACCGCAUAAGCCCACGAUCCGGCAUCGGAUUGAGGGAAAAGGAUUUAUUCGCUUCAGGAUGGACUCGCGUCCAAUUAGCUAGUUGGUGAGGUAACGGCCCACCAAGGCGACGAUUGGUAGCCGGACUGAGAGGUUGACCGGCCACAUUGGGACUGAGACACGGCCCAGACUCCUACGGGAGGCAGCAGUGGGGGAUAUUGCACAAUGGGGGAAACCCUGAUGCAGCGACGCCGCGUGGAGGAAGAAGGUUUUCGGAUUGUAAACUCCUGUCGUUAGGGACGAUAAUGACGGUACCUAACAAGAAAGCACCGGCUAACUACGUG
rnacentral:rRNA from 1 species